CCUGGGAUCACGACCUGAGCCAAAGGCAGAUGCUCAACCACUAAGCCACCAGGUGCCCCAAGAAUCACCUGGCCACUCUGUAGAAUGUGGAAGGAAGGGGUCAACGUGCUGUUCUGAAUGCUAUCACUUAAAAGGCAGUAUGGUGACUCUGGAGAAGGCUGCUUGAACUCUGAUUUGGGCUCUGCCACUGCCCAUCUAUAUGACCUUGGGAAAACUGCUUUACAUUUCUUAGACUCAGCUUCUUCAUUUAUAAAAUGAAGAAGGAACUGGCUUGGGAUGACCUAAAGCCUAUCUUGAUCUUUGGCAGCUUGGUAACAACCAACUUCUAAGGGCCAGGAUGCUGAGUCAGAGAUUCCUACAGGGCAGGAUCUACCUCAAACAAACCCAGGCUUGAGGGGCGUUUUCUGUGAAGACAUCAGGACCUGGCAGACAGACAACGUGGAAGCUAUCUAUUCGUGAGUGGAAUCAUACGGUAUUUGUCCUUUCCAGUCUAACUUAUUUCAUUUCGUGUAAUACUCUUUAGGUCUAUCCUAAAGUUGUCUCAAAUGGGACAAUCUCAUCCUUUUUGAAGGCCGUGUAAUAUUCGUGUGUGUGUGUGUACGUGUGUAUCACAUUUUCCUUACCCAUUCAUCUAUCGAGAGAUACUUAGGUUGCUUCCAUGU